AGGGGAAUAUUGGACAAUGGGCGAAAGCCUGAUCCAGCCAUGCCGCGUGAGUGAUGAAGGCCUUAGGGUUGUAAAGCUCUUUUAGCGGGGAAGAUAACGACGGUACCCGCAGAAAAAGCCCCGGCUAACUUCGUGCCAGCAGCCGCGGUAAUACGAAGGGGGCUAGCGUUGCUCGGAAUUACUGGGCGUAAAGCGCACGUAGGCGGACUCUUAAGUCGGUGGUGAAAUCCUGGAGCUCAACUCCAGAACUGCCUUCGAUACUGGGAGUCUUGAGUUCGGGAGAGGUGAGUGGAACUGCGAGUGUAGAGGUGAAAUUCGUAGAUAUUCGCAAGAACACCAGUGGCGAAGGCGGCUCACUGGCCCGAUACUGACGCUGAGGUGCGAAAGCGUGGGGAGCAAACA
rnacentral:rRNA from 1 species